UGGGGAAUAUUGCACAAUGGGCGCAAGCCUGAUGCAGCCAUGCCGCGUGUAUGAAGAAGGCCUUCGGGUUGUAAAGUACUUUCAGUCGGGAGGAAGGUGGUAAGGUUAAUAACCUUAUCAAUUGACGUUACCGACAGAAGAAGCACCGGCUAACUCCGUGCCAGCAGCCGCGGUAAUACGGAGGGUGCAAGCGUUAAUCGGAAUUACUGGGCGUAAAGCGCACGCAGGCGGUUGAUUGAGUCAGAUGUGAAAUCCCCGGGCUUAACCCGGGAAUUGCAUCUGAUACUGGUCAGCUAGAGUCUUGUGGAGGGGGGUAGAAUUCCAUGUGUAGCGGUGAAAUGCGUAGAGAUGUGGAGGAAUACCGGUGGCGAAGGCGGCCCCCUGGACAAAGACUGACGCUCAGGUGCGAAAGCGUGGGGAGCAAACAGG
rnacentral:rRNA from 1 species